UUGAGUUAGUAAUUUUUUGUACAUCUCCUCUCCCGAAGCCCAGGUAUGGUAUACACCCCCAAAAAUAAAGAGCCUUGAAUGCUAGAAGAAAAGCACCUAUACCUAGCAAAAUUAAGUGAAGACCAAAAAUUGUGGACAUUUUAUUUCUAUCUUUCUA
rfam:Gossypium raimondii Chr11_contig_1034, whole genome shotgun sequence.